rnacentral:rRNA from 1 species
UACAGAGGGGGCAAGCGUUGUUCGGAAUUACUGGGCGUAAAGGGCGCGUAGGCGGCCUGCUAAGUCGAACGUGAAAUCCCUGGGCUCAACCCAGGAACUGCGUCCGAUACUGGUUGGCUUGAAUCCGGGAGAGGGAUGUGGAAUUCCAGGUGUAGCGGUGAAAUGCGUAGAUAUCUGGAGGAACACCGGUGGCGAAGGCGACAUCCUGGACCGGUAUUGA